AGCAGCCGCGGUAAUUCCAGCUCCAAUAGCGUAUAUUAAAGUUGUUGCAGUUAAAAAGCUCGUAGUUGAAUUUCGGGAUCAUCAGGUUGGUCGUGCCUCUGGUAUGUACUGAUUUCGAUGGUUCCUCCUUCUUGAAGAGCCGUAAUGUCAUUAAUUUGGUGUUGCGGGGAAUCAGGACUGUUACUUUGAAAAAUUAGAGUGUUUAAAGCAGGCAAUCGCUUGAAUACAUUAGCAUGGAAUAAUGAAAUAGGACGUUCGAUCCUAUUUUGUUGGUUUCUAGGAUUGACGUAAUGAUUAAUAGGGAUAGUUGGGGGCAUUAGUAUUCAAUUGUCAGAGGUGAAAUUCUUGGAUUUAUUGAAGACUAACUACUGCGAAAGCAUUUGCCAAGGAUGUUUUCAUUAAUCAAGAACGAAAGUUAGGGGAUCGAAGACGAUCAGAUACCGUCGUAGUCUUAACCAUAAACUAUGCCGACUAGGGAUCGGAUGAUGUUAAUUUUAAUGACUCAUUCGGCGCCUUAAC
rnacentral:rRNA from 1 species